UACAAAAGGGAGGGGGGUGGUAUCCAUAAGAAAAUCUCAGACUCUUUUAUUAUUAUUUUUUAUUAUUAUUUUUUUAACCCACAAGGGGAGGUUUCUUUUUUUUUUAAUUUUUUUAUUUAUUUAUGAUAGUCACAGAGAGAGAGAGAGGCAGAGACAUAGGCAGAGGGAGAAGCAGGCUCCAUGCGCCGGGAGCCCGAUGUGGGAUUCGAUCCCGGGUCUCCAGGAUCGCGCCCUGGGCCAAAGGCAGGCGCCAAACCGCUGCGCCACCCAGGGAUCCCCCUCAGACUCUUAUAGAUAGGACAAUUAAAAUUAUUUUCUGACAAUGGAGAAAGGUGAAAGAGAUUUUUAUUUUCAGUUGUUAAGAAAAACUAUCUUUCAACCUUUCCCUUUCUUCACCUUCAGUAUUUCCACCAUCACUUCUAGGUGACUACAGGAUGAGGCUUUAAAGAUACUGGAUCUAUAGAAAGAAAGGGCUGGAAGGGCAAGGAGGCAUCAGCUGAAAAGCAAAAAGCCAGAAAUCAAAUCUCCAGUCUACAGAGAUUGAGGAGGUGACUCCAUCCUCUUCACAGUGGCAUUCAUGCCCAGUUACUUCUUUAGACCUCAACUCCCAGACAGGGAGAUAUUCCAUCAGCCAGAAGAUCAACCUGGAACCAGUUCUCCCUCCCCAGCUGUGGAAAACCAAGAAGCCCCGAAGACCUAUGCACCAAUCAGCCAGUUUCUGAAUUUGGCCCAAGACAAGGUCAGUGAUCUCCUUGCCAAUGGUGUAGUGCCCUCAGGCAUAGUUAUUGGCAGCAUCUUCCUUGCUUGUGAUGAGCUGCUCAGGAUGAAAGAGCUGGCAGUAGGUACCAAUGUGAACUUCAUCAAUGACCAUGGGUUCCAGUACAAACUUUGCCCUGGGCACAUGCUUUCCAUUACCUCUUCUCACUGAAGAAAGUGUUGAAGGGGUCAUCUCCUCUCCCAGUGGUUUUGUCUCUUAGCAUUAGAGCAUCAGGCUGGAUGCAAUGUUCCAGGUAAUAGAGCUCCCAGCAGGCAUUGCCAAUUUGGAUGCCAGGUUGGCUGAUGUGGAUGGAGAUGCAUUCAUGCAUGGUUGGUACUUUGCAACUACAAAGCAGGUGGUAGAGAGGAAAAGGAGAGGUUGUUGCUUCUUACAGGAUCUGUAGUCAGCAAGGAUAUGUAAGACUGAAGUUCAAAUGGUUAUAAAUAGAGGAAGAGAAGCAUUGCAAAGAGCUUUGGAGGCAGGUAGGCCUCACCACGUUAUUUUGGAUUUUGCAUGUGAAGAUGUCUAACUAUGCCUGGCACAGAGUAUGUGUUUAACUAAAAGUGUUUUUAUUAUUAUUAUUAUUAAGUCACAUUUAGAAGAUAAAGUAUUUUCAUUUCCUCUUUUAGUAUCCCAUAUUAUUUAGCAAAGGUAUGAUAGUAUUUGUCAUAUAAUUGAUAUAAG
rnacentral:lncRNA from 1 species